CCCCAAAAAGCCACUGUCAUGAAGAAAUAUCCUGUGAAGAAAAUCUUUGCAGGGCACCUGAACUCCCAAAGCUACUGAGGAGAAGAUGGAGGCCAUUGAACUUUCAGUGGAUCCAAAGUCUAACAAAAGACAAUGUCUUGUUUUCGUCACCCCCCAAAGAAGAGGAACCUGUGAGAAAUAUUCUGGAGAAAUUUAACACCAUCAGUGGAAGCAAGGUGAGGAGUCUCUACCUCCAUGUGCCUCCCCUCCUGCCUCUGGAGAGGUAGCCCUUUGGUUAAUGGCAACCCAAUAGGGUAACCAACCAUCCCAUUUUAGCAUUGAGAGCAUUGUGUCCUGGGAGACCCUUCCCUGGAAUGUAAAUAAUCCUGGUUUUAGCAACAAAGUGUGGAAGGUUGGAGGAAAUGCACAAAACCCGUAAGUUUUAGAGGGUCUGAAAGCAACAUUGUCUAUCAAAUGGAUACGGCACAGAUUAUUCAUCUUUACUUGUUGUCACCCAUUUGACCACUGAUAUUGGCAACCAUAAUUUGUAGUUCAGAAUGGUCAUCCAUCCAUCGUUGCAUCAUUCAAAGUGAUGUGGCUUAAGUGUAUAUAAUGAUUAUUAAUAGUUCAUCUUCGACUUUGCCUGUGGAUUAAUUGGUGUGCUUUGUAACAAGAUAGUGCUAGUUUAAUUUUUUAACAUUGUGAAUAUUGUGACCAUGUUUUCUAAGAGGUCAGAUAAUGAGAAUGGUUAUAAUACCAAUGCAACCAUGACCCCAUCACUGAAGAAGAAGGCUAAACGACUAUGUAAUUUUAAUGAUGGAUGGAAGGACACAUGCUACUGAACUAGGAAGGUAAAUAACCAAAACAGAGCAUACUACAUAAUAUGCAGAAAAAAAUUUGAGAUUGGACAUGGUGGAGAAGGGGAUGUGCAAGCACAUACGGAGGGCAAAUCUCACAAGUAAGAUGGGACAGGUGAAUGCUUCUAAACCAAUAAAAAAUACCCUUGUUUCCCCAAAAGACACCAAUGCUCAGUCAAAAGUAGCAGCUGCUGAAUUAGCAUGGGCAUACCAGGCAAAUAAGCCUGCAUUGUCAUAGCGUUCCCUUGAUUGCUCUAUGAAACUGAGUAAAGUUUCAUUUCCUGAUUCAAGAAUUGCAGCUAAAAUAUCCUCUGGACAAAGAAGAAGGGAAAUUUUUUGAUAACAGAUGUGUUGGCUCCUUACAGUAUAAAGCCGAUUUCUGUCAUAUCUCACCAACAAUCCUGGUUUCUACAGUACAUCAAUUUUAAGUAAUUUGCCAAAUCAUGGCAGCAAAAAUAUGUUCCCUCUAGCUGUUAGGUACUUUGACUUGAAAACAGGAGUUUCAAAUCAUCUUCUUCAUUUCUGUGAGGAUUUUAAUGAAACUGCUGAAAUCAUAAAAUAUUGUUGAUAUUUUGUCUAAAUACAAACUAGACUUAGCUCAUCUAUCUGCGUAUUCGUCAGACAGUACAGA
rnacentral:lncRNA from 1 species